rnacentral:rRNA from 1 species
GAUGAACGCUGGCGGCGUGCCUAAUACAUGCAAGUCGAGCGAACGGACGAGGAGCUUGCUCCUCUGACGUUAGCGGCGGACGGGUGAGUAACACGUGGAUAACCUACCUAUAAGACUGGGAUAACUUCGGGAAACCGGAGCUAAUACCGGAUAAUAUAUUGAACCGCAUGGUUCAAUAGUGAAAGACGGUUUUGCUGUCACUUAUCGAUGGAUCCGCGCCGCAUUAGCUAGUUGGUAAGGUAACGGCUUACCAAGGCAACGAUGCGUAGCCGACCUGAGAGGGUGAUCGGCCACACUGGAACUGAGACACGGUCCAGACUCCUACGGGAGGCAGCAGUAGGGAAUCUUCCGCAAUGGGCGAAAGCCUGACGGAGCAACGCCGCGUGAGUGAUGAAGGUCUUCGGAUCGUAAAACUCUGUUAUUAGGGAAGAACAAAUGUGUAAGUAACUAUGCACGUCUUGACGGUACCUAAUCAGAAAGCCACGGCUAACUACGUG